AGAUUGAACGCUGGCGGAAUGCUUUACACAUGCAAGUCGAACGGCAGCACGGGGGCAACCCUGGUGGCGAGUGGCGAACGGGUGAGUAAUACAUCGGAACGUGCCCAGUCGUGGGGGAUAACUACGCGAAAGCGUAGCUAAUACCGCAUACGAACUCGGGUUGAAAGCGGGGGAUCGCAAGACCUCGCGCGAUUGGAGCGGCCGAUGGCAGAUUAGGUAGUUGGUGGGGUAAAGGCUCGACCAAGCCGACGAUCUGUAGCUGGUCUGAGAGGACGACCAGCCACACUGGGACUGAGACACGGCCCAGACUCCUACGGGAGGCAGCAGUGGGAAUUUGGACAAUGGGCGCAAGCCUGAUCCAGCCAUUCCGCGUGCAGGAUGAAGGCCUCGGGUGUAAACUGCUUUUGACGGUAACGAAACGCGCUGAGUUAAUACCUCGGCGUAAUGACGGUAACCGUAAGAAUAAGCACCGGACUAACUACGUGCCAGCCAGCCGCGGUAAUCGUGA
rnacentral:rRNA from 1 species